UUGUCAUUUAAAAAGACGAGUAUAAUUUCACAAAAAAACUCAUAUAAUUUUUAACGUUAGUGAGUAUCCAAGGAACAAAAAUACAAGUCUACAUAUCACUUUUGUGUAGGGUAAUUUUUUGAAAUAUUUACAGAGACAGAAACCCUUGUUUUACGGUCGCCACCCACACAUAUGGCUGCCAUAUCUCCGUCGUAAUACGCCACCGCUCCACCACCGCAUAGCCACCACUGAUCUGUUUCACGUAGCUGUGUUCGGCUAAAACCCUAACCACCGUAGCUCCAAUUUCACUCAGCGGUUCAUCUUCAAACGCUCACUUAACACAUCUGACAAACACAACCACUCAAUUGAUAAUGAGUUCCGGACGCCAGUUAAGAAGCCAGUCAAAAAAGGACCUACCAACAUCACAACCAUUUCAAACGAAAAGCACGCCAAACGACUUGUGUUGUGUGUUAAACGGGCUGAGUGCUGCUCAAAAGGCUGAUAUAAAAGAUAUGGGAUUUGAAUCUCUAACAGCUUUUAACAUACGCAACAUACCAGCGGGAUUGGGUCAUUGGUUGUUGGACAACUAUUCUCAUGAAACGAACGAAUUAAACGUUGGCAGCCAUGUGAUUAAAGUAACACCUUUAAAGGUUCAUUGUUUUCGGAGUGCCUAUGGGGGAUAUUCCCGUAUCUGAACAUAAAAGGAAGAGAAUGAUAGACGUUUUUAGAGACGAAUGGAAGAAUAAGUUCUUUCAAACGAGUAUAACUAUUAACGAUGUAAUUAAACAGCUUAAAUCACAAAGGACAGGCGGAACACUUUUCAAGCUUAACUUUCUUGUUCUCUUCAACUCUAUCAUGGGCGAGACAACUAAGCGUGCAACCGUAAAUCCAAAAUUUCUUGCAUCAAUCAUGGAUGAAGGCGACAUCUAUAAAAUGACUUUCAUAACGCAACAGGUACUAUAGCACACGAACUGCAACUGAAACGUAAUCCUGAAAACGCAAUAACCCCGGCCAUAAAAUAUGUGACAACUGAUUACUUAGUUGGUCUCGAGAGUUCUCUGCAUGGAAUUGGACCGUGUUCAAAUGAUAAUGUUGAAGGUCAAACUGAUGUUGACCAAAAUGUUAAUGUGUCUCGAGAUGAGGAAGGUGAAGCUCAAUUUCAUUCAACCAAUGCGGAUGUAACUUCUCGUCAUUUAUCAUAUUUAAAGUUACCCACUGGUGAUGCUACUCGGAAAUUCAGGGAUAGACGCAUCAGCCAUUGUAACCAACUUGAACCGCUUAGAGACGAGAAUUUACUCGAUCGUGAUGAUAUAGAAAUCAUAGAACCCAAAGAGGAAGAAUGUGAGUUGGAUGAAAAUGCAUCUCGUACGUACGUCUGAUUCUCUGGAAAAUCGCUCCGCUCGUAAAAGUGUGAUGGUCUAUGUGAAAACGUACAAAGUGAAUCGCGAUAUUGCACCGACUCUUAUAGACAUUAUGAGGAACAUGGGGACAUUGCAGCUGCAUGCGUCUUGACUUCGGAUUUGAAAUCAUCAAUCGUUGAGUCUGUUUGUAAAGUUUUCAAGCGGAUUCAAACCAAUGAUAUUGUGGAAAUGGUAGAAGAAGAGAAGCGGGUGUCGGAUGCAAAGAAACUCAACAUUGAUGUGUCAUGGCUUGAACCUCUCUUGGAAGCUGUUCGCAAGAGGAAAGAGGCCAAUAAACACUACGGUUUGUGUUUGGAAAUGAAAGCAGGCGUCAUUAUGGCUAAAAGAGCUGCCCAGAAGGAUCUGAGAGACAGACGUGCAGAGCUUGUGGCUGCAAAGCAACGGGUUGAAGAGGCUGAAAGGUGUGUGGCAGCCAUGCAUCUUGUUGGAAAGAAUCUAACUGACCGUCUCCAUGAAUCUGAAUCUGACCUGGAUUCAUGGGCAAAUGAUCCGGUUGUUUACGCUAACUAGAGCACGCUAUGGUGUGUAAUUAACUAAUCAUUAGCAUAUCGAUUAGGCUAACUGUUUAAAUUUGGUCAAAAAGGAGAAGUGUGUGCGAGUAUUUGUAGUUCAUAGGUUAUGUGUAUUGAACCUUAUUAUGAAUGUGUUGCAUGUAUGGCUCAUCCUUCGUAGUCUUUCUAGUA